rnacentral:piRNA from 1 species
UAGGAUAUGGUGUUGGAGGCUGUUUGUG